rnacentral:rRNA from 1 species
GGUUAAGUUAACAAGGGCGCAUGGUGAAUGCCUUGGCACUAGGAGCCGAUGAAGGACGGGACUAACACCGAUAUGCUUCGGGGAGCUGUACGUAAGCUAUGAUCCGGAGAUUUCCGAAUGGGGCAACCCAGCAGUUUUAAUCAACUGUUACCACUAGAUGAAUUCAUAGUCUAGUUGGAGGUAAACGCUGUGAACUGAAACAUCUCAUUAGCAGCAGGAAUAUAAAGAAAUUUCGAUUCCCUAAGUAGCGGCGAGCGAACGGGGAACAGCCCAAACCAAAGUGCUUGCACUUUGGGGUUGUAGGACUGAACAUUUGAGUUACCAAAGAACUUGAUAGUCGAAGGAUUUGGGAAAAUCCGCCAUAGAUGGUGAUAGCCCAGUAGAUUAAAUCAAAUUCUCUCAGUUCAGGAUCCUGAGUACGGCGGAACACGUGAAAUUCCGUCGGAAUCCGGGAGGACCAUCUCCCAAGGCUAAAUACUACCUAGUGACCGAUAGUGAACCAGUACCGUGAGGGAAAGGUGAAAAGCACCCCGGGAGGGGAGUGAAAUAGUUCCUGAAACCAUGUGCCUACAAUAAGUCAGAGCGCGUUAAUGCGUGAUGGCGUGCCUUUGUAGAAUGAACCGGCGAGUUAUGAUCCCGUGCAAGGUUAAGACUAAAAAGUCGGAGCCGUAGCGAAAGCGAGUCUGAAAUGGGCGAUUUGAGUACGAGGUUAUAGACCCGAAACCAGGUGACCUAUCCAUGUCCAGGUUGAAGGUGCGGUAAAACGCACUGGAGGACCGAACCCGUGUAAGUUGAAAAUUGCUGGGAUGAGGUGUGGAUAGCGGUGAAAUUCCAAACGAACUUGGAGAUAGCUGGUUCUCUCCGAAAUAGCUUUAGGGCUAGCCUCGGAUUAAGGAUCAUGGAGGUAGAGCACUAUUUGGACUAGGGGCCCGUCUUGGGUUACUGAAUUCAGAUAAACUCCGAAUGCCAUUGAUUCAUGUCCGGGAGUCAGACGAUGAGUGAUAAGAUCCACCGUCGAAAGGGGAACAGCCCAGACCAUCAGUUAAGGUCCCUAAAUGUAUGCUAAGUGGAAAAGGAUGUGGAGUUGCAUAGACAACUAGGAUGUUGGCUCAGAAGCAGCCACCAUUUAAAGAGUGCGUAAUAGCUCACUAGUCGAGUGAUCCUGCGCCGAAAAUGUACCGGGGCUAAGCAUACUACCGAAACCAUGGAUGCGACCAUUAGGUCGCGUGAUAGGAGAGCGUUCUAAGGGCGGUGAAGCAAGAUCGUGAGGACUUGUGGAGCGCUUAGAAGUGAGAAUGCCGGUAUGAGUAGCGAAAGAUAGGUGAGAAUCCUAUCCACCGAAUGACUAAGGUUUCCUGGGGAAGGCUCGUCCUCCCAGGGUUAGUCGGGACCUAAGUCGAGGCCGAGAGGCGUAGACGAUGGAUAACAGGUUGAGAUUCCUGUACUAGUUAAGUGCGUUUGAGCAAUGGAGGGACGCAGGAGGCUAAGAUGUGCAUUCUGUUGGAUUAGAAUGUCCAAGCAGUAAGUCUUGUGGAGAGUCAAAUGCUUUUCACUUCAAGGACAAGCUGUGAUGGGGAGCGAAAUUUAGUAGCGAAGCGUCUGAUGUCACACUGCCGAGAAAAGCUUCUAGUGAGUACUUAACUACCCGUACCGCAAACCGACACAGGUAGUCGAGGAGAGAAUCCUAAGGUGAGCGAGUGAACUCUCGUUAAGGAACUCGGCAAAAUGACCCCGUAACUUCGGGAGAAGGGGUGCUGAUCGCAAGAUCAGCCGCAGUGAAUAGGCCCAGGCGACUGUUUAUCAAAAACACAGGUCUCUGCAAAAUCGUAAGAUGACGUAUAGGGGCUGACGCCUGCCCGGUGCUGGAAGGUUAAAAGGAUGGGUUAGCUUCGGCGAAGCUCAGAAUUGAAGCCCCAGUAAACGGCGGCCGUAACUAUAACGGUCCUAAGGUAGCGAAAUUCCUUGUCGGGUAAGUUCCGACCCGCACGAAAGGCGUAACGAUCUGGGCACUGUCUCAACGAGAGACUCGGUGAAAUUAUAUUGUCCGUGAAGAUGCGGACUACCCGCGACAGGACGGAAAGACCCCAUGGAGCUUUACUGUAGCUUGAUAUUGAGUGUUUGUACAGCUUGUACAGGAUAGGUAGGAGCCAUAGAAACCGGAACGCUAGUUUCGGUGGAGGCGUUGGUGGGAUACUACCCUCGCUGUAUGACCACUCUAACCCGCACCACUAAUCGUGGUGGGAGACAGUGUCAGGUGGGCAGUUUGACUGGGGCGGUCGCCUCCUAAAAAGUAACGGAGGCGCCCAAAGGUUCCCUCAGAAUGGUUGGAAAUCAUUCGCAGAGUGUAAAGGCACAAGGGAGCUUGACUGCGAGACAGACAGGUCGAGCAGGGACGAAAGUCGGGCUUAGUGAUCCGGUGGUACCGUAUGGAAGGGCCAUCGCUCAACGGAUAAAAGCUACCCUGGGGAUAACAGGCUUAUCUCCCCAAGAGUCCACAUCGACGGGGAGGUUUGGCACCUCGAUGUCGGCUCAUCGCAUCCUGGGGCUGUAGUCGGUCCCAAGGGUUGGGCUGUUCGCCCAUUAAAGCGGUACGCGAGCUGGGUUCAGAACGUCGUGAGACAGUUCGGUCCCUAUCCGUCGCGGGCGUAGGAAAUUUGAGAGGACCUGUCCUUAGUACGAGAGGACCGGGAUGGACAUACCUCUGGUGUACCAGUUGUGCCGCCAGGCGCAUCGCUGGGUAGCUACGUAUGGAUGUGAUAAACGCUGAAAGCAUCUAAGUGUGAAACACACCUCGAGAUGAGAUUUCCCAUUCCUUUAUGGAAGUAAGACCCCUGAAAGAUGAUCAGGUAGAUAGGUUAGAAGUGGCAGUGCGGUGACGCAUGAAGCGGACUAAUACUAAUCGGUCGAGGACUUAACCAA